rnacentral:rRNA from 1 species
ACGCUCGACACCUACUGGAGGCAGCAGUGGGGAAUAUUGCACAAUGGGGGAAACCCUGAUGCAGCGAUGCCGCGUGAAGGAAGAAGUAUCUCGGUAUGUAAACUUCUAUCAGCAGGGAAGAAAAUGACGGUACCUGACUAAGAAGCCCCGGCUAACUACGUGUCAGCAGCCGCGGUAAUCUGAGCGGGCUGGCAAGGC